AUGGUUUUCAGCAGCUUAGUUUUCAGCUAUGAACCUUGCUGAGCUUAAACCUUUUUUAAAUAAGUUUCAUUGAUGUGAUGAAUACGCUGGUGUCAUACAAAGAACAGCCCUUAACAGCACUUUAUUUGUGGUGUCACAUGGCCAAAUGUUUUGUGGGGACCCCACAACCCCACACUAAAAGAAUCCCUGUCUCCAAGAUUAGGUGCAAAACCUGAUUGUACCAACUGACAAUAUCAAUGCUAGUAGGAGUUAAUAGGAGUUUCAGGUGGUGUCAAAUGCAGUAGUACUUUACUUGACAUGAGUACAUGCUAAAUGACGUGAUCCAGGUUUUUGUGUUAGUCUUUAAGAAUUGCUUUUGUAUGUUUACCAGAAUGGUAUGUAAUGACCGUGUAAAAUGAGCAUGAAAUGUGGUUAUGUGUUAUAUGUAUCCUCUAAUUAUGAUUCACUGUGAAGCAUCCGCAUAUAUAACUAUAUGCAAGCACUUUUAUACAAUGUUUUCCAGAUUAUGUCCCGGACCAAAUCAAAACUUUGACAACCUGCUAAUCGCACUUAACAAAACUGUAUUUAAUAGCAUUUUCUUUUUAUGAGUAGAAGAAAUAAGAUACUUACAAAAAAAAAAAAACGCUAUUAAAUACAGUUUUGUUUAGUGCGAUUAGCGGGUUGUCAAAGUUUUGAUUUGGUCCCAGCCUAUGUGUAAUUAAUGACUUUCCUACAUAUACAUUGAUGGUGAUAGUGCUGUUAUUGUUUUUCAUUUUUAAACAGCUUUUUCCUUGGGUAACAUUCCAUACAUUGUCAUUACAGUACCAUAUGUACCAUAUAAGGCUAAUUCUCAGCCUUUUUAUUGUCAUUCAUAAUGCUUUUGAAUCAAGAAAAAUAAAGUAGGUGAUGGAGAGAUCUGUGCUUUCUUUUUAAGUUGCUUUACUGUAACUUGUCCUUGUUGAGCAACGUUUACCCCUGUGAUUCAAGGAUUUAUCCCUUGUAAAAUAAGUACAUAUCAAUUAGUUUAUUAAAUAACAUUGUAAGGGUUACAUUCUUUAUGCAUGAACAAAUAUCAGUGAAGUGCACUGUAGUGUUGCCUGCCAGAUCUAUAAAACAGUAGUGGAAAAAAUGAUGGCAACUCUUGUAUUUAAUAAGUAAUGUAUUGAUCUCAGGCCCAACAAUGUGCAAACAUUAUGUAAAAGAAGAAUACUUAACUGUGUAGAUUGCAGCCCAGCUGUAAAGGUGUAUGUAAGACUCUGGUGGUGUUGAUAACAAAGGGUUUAGAAAGAAUGAUAAAAAGCUCUUAAAGUGAUGGCUUGUAAUUUGUCAAUGAAAUUGUGACUCAGGUUACACAAAGACUUAGUCUUAAUGGAUAAGGAGCAGCUAGAAAGAAAGUCCAUAUAUUAAGCCAACAUAACAGUAUAAAGAUUUAGUUUAAAUUCAGCUUGCAUUGAUCAACAACCAUCAAUGACAGGAUGUGGCAAACAAUGAUACCAUUCAUGGUGGUGAACCUGUUCAUCCCUUUGGGGUUGGUUGAUAAAUAAAGCUGUUUUUGAAUUUGAAUUCAAUCACAUCUCGCGUGAUUAGACACGUACGCAGCGUGGAUCGUGCAAUGAUGCAGAGAGCACUGGACAAGUUUGUAAUCAAACAGUGACUGCGCCACAGCAUUGUGCAGGAAUAACCAGCAGCCGCACAUCCUGUGAUCUCAGAGUGAGGUUUGGAAGAUACGGGGUCAGUAACUCCUAUGAUCUCUGGUAAUUUGAGAAACCUACUUCGAAAGUAGAAGAGAACACAGAGUUUAUUUUUAACAUCUUACACAUGCUAAGCUCACUUUUGAUCUUUGUAUCUUUUCAAAGGAAGUUUCAGCAUUAGUCUGUUCCAAGUGCUCUACGUGUCCUGAGGGUUAAUGUAGACCUGCACAUACUGGUUAUAGAGCAAUAUAUGACAACUAAUGCUGUUAGAUUACAAAUGAUUGUUUAUAACAAGCGUUCUAGCAUGGUCUCAUGGGCUCUUACAGAUGCAGGAGGCAAGAGGUGGAAAAAAUGACAAAUGACAAAUAUGCCGUUAUCGAUCCACAACCCAGUCCUAUUAAAUGUCAAGCUUUGGCCUGAGUAUCUAACCAAGAUAAAUGUAGAUCUGCAGUACUGAUAAACAUAAGGCUUUGGUGCUCUUAUAUAAGCAAAAUAGAUGCUGCUUAAUAUAUGUAGCAGUUGAUUAAUAAUUAAUAUUACUGUAGAAUAACUGCAGGAUGUCUGCAUAGAAUACAUUGUGGUGUUUCUAGAUCUAGGUUGUGGGGGCUGGAGAAGAUCUCUGAUGUCAAUACUACAUACCAUACAAUAGAUACAACUAGUGACUAUACUGCACAGGGGAUGUAAGAGUAAUUCCACAUGUGUUGUACGUUUUGGUGCACUCUAACAGUGCAUGGAAGCCUCUUUAGUGUUUUGUUUUCAGUAAAAGUAAUGUAUAAUGCUGUGGAGCUAAUGUAUUAAGAUACGUUAACAGGGCACCAUGAGUUAAAGUGAAGUAACUUUGUAAAUACAGCUAUGGCCAAACAUUUUGCAUCACCCUAUAGAAUGAAAUCAUUUUGCUUCAUAAAGUCGAAAGAAACCUGCUGAAUAAUGUUACGUUAACAUAUUCAAUUACAUACCGCUUUGUAAUUUUUCAUAUACUUGCAAUACUGACAAAAAUUAUUAAAUCUCACAUGAAGUAAUGUACUGCUGUUAGGGAUUCCAAUAGACUUUUUUUGUAGUUUCUUUGAUUAAAUAAUGUUAGAUAAAAGAUCUAAAUGAUGGUCAUAUAGUUUUUUAAAAUUAUGUCUCAAUCCUACAAUUCUAGGUGAUGCAAAACUUUUGGCCUUAGCUGUACAUUUAUUUAAACUGCACAACCCUCCCAAGUACAGUACUACAAUCACAUUUAGUGAUAUACUGUAGAAUGUAAUACCAGUAAAAAAUAAUUCAAUAUGGGACAGCCAAAUAGUUUAUAGAAAAACUAAUAGUGGGCACCAUUCAGGUAGACCUAACUGCCUGGUGGUAAACACAUGUCUAGUAAUUAAGCUCUGGUUUCUGGGCCUGUCAGAGAAGAGACUUACAAAGUGGUGAUACAUGUGAUAAGCACUGAUCGUAAAUGAAUCAUGAGGCUAACAGCAGCCUGAGAUACCUUAACAAGUAACUGUGGGAACUGAAGCAUGCUGAUGACCUACUACACAUUUUUAUUGAAGCAGACUAGUAAAUGCAUCUCUUAUCUGACUGUCUAACAAUUCAGGUUAUGCCUUCCAGCGCAACAAAUAUAUUUGUAAAAGAGUUCUUCACCAGCCACCCUGCAGCCCCUGUAUGAAACAAAGCCAGGACCGAGAGCAGGGGACUUGGAGAGUCUUCAUAAAUAUUGUUUUCAUGCCUGCAUCUCACAGAAAACAGAAUAAAGACUUUGGCAUCCAUUCAAACAUCCAUUACUAACCAAAUCAUUUUUGCUGAGAGAUUUAAGAUUACUCCAGUCAAAAGAAAAUGUUGUGUUGCCAAAUAUGUUCUGGUGUUUAAUUUAGUGAGUAACAUCAAAGAUAUUGGAGGUCUGCAGUGUUUGAUUUCUGAUAAUGUUUACUUGUAUUAUGUUACAGACUGAAACUUUAUAGGCAGUCCAUAAUUAAGACUACGUGUGUGUAUGUGAUUUUGUUGAAUUUUUUAUACACAAAUAUGCUUACUUAGACUUGAAAUGUCUUAAAUGAUGCAAGAAAUGUCUACACUGUAUUUUAGUGAAAAAAUAUAGUAACCUAUUUUAGCUUGUGUUAUUUUGGAAUACCAUUGCUUCUGACUCAGGGGCGCCGGAGCCAGGGGGGUCAUGACCCCUCAUCGUUUGACAAAAGCAACAUCAGCACAGUGGAAAAAGGCACUUGUGUAGCACACAAUGUUUAGUUGCGGUUAUAAUCUGUGUAACUUUUACUUUGUGAGAAUUUUGUUUGAAAUAAAGUGCUACACCCUCACCCUCACUCCCCAGACCUUGCCUUAGGGCCUCAUUCACUAAACGGUGGUAAAUGACCAGAUUUACCGCGUGGCAGGGGGAAGUCACACUGAGCGGAAUAAUGAAGCAGUGGUCGCUCUAUUCACUAAGCUAAUUAUAAGCACAAAUAAAGCAAGCUAAAUUAUUCAUUUGCACGUUGUCACAUCAUGCAGAAUUAUGUAAGAGGUUUACACACACAUUAUUAUAGUAUAUAAGGGCGCUUGAAAGAAAAGGUAAGUACGAUUCUGAGUUUGUCACAAUGAGCGACCCAGGAGGACAGAUUGAGGAAUCUAAUGUUUACAGACCAGGAGCUAAAUGUAUUAAAUGUAAAAGUGGUAGGGAAUUAUGAAAGGCUUUUUGGUGCUGAAUCAGCGAGAACAUUAACUUCAAAGAAGAGGACCAUUUGGCAAAACAUGAAGGACAAAAUAAAUGUGCUCCAUAGGAGGAGGGGUGGGGUAGUCUUGCUUGCCCCAAAGACUCACAACAUCCUGUGUGACAGUCAAAGCGGAGAAAGUAAUUGUUAAUGGAACAUUUAUGUUUAACUCUCUCUGCAAAUCAAAUCAAAUAAAUAUUUGUUUGUUCAA